AACGAACGUUGGCGGCGUGGAUUAGGCAUGCAAGUCGCGGGAAUCCCAGCAAUGGGGGAACCGGCGUAAGGGGCAGUACGGCGUGGGUACCUACCUUGGGGUCCGGGAUAGCCGUCCGAGAGGGCGGGUAAUACCGGAUGACCUCGGGAGAGCAAAGCUGCGGCGCGCUGUGAGGGGCGCACGUGAUCUUAGCUGGUUGGUGAGGUGACGGCGCACCAAGUCGGAGAUGUCUAGAGGGUGUGAGAGAACGGCCCGCGCCACUCGCACUGAGACACUGGCGAGACACCUACGGGUGGAUGCAGUCGAGGAUCUUCGGAAAUGCGCGCAAGCCCGACCGAGAGAAGCCGCGUGGGGGAUGAAGGCCUUCGGGUUGUAAAGCCCUGUGGAGGGGGAGAAAAGCCCGCAAGGGUGUGAUCUAUCCCUGGAGGAAGCUCGGGCUAAGUUCGUGCCAGCAGCCGCCGUAAGAC
rnacentral:rRNA from 1 species